rnacentral:rRNA from 1 species
AACGAACGCUGGCGGCAGGCCUAACACAUGCAAGUCGAGCGAAGCCUUCGGGCUUAGCGGCGGACGGGUGAGUAACGCGUGGGAACGUGCCCUUUGGUACGGAAUAGCCCCGGGAAACUGGGAGUAAUACCGUAUGUGGUCGAGAAACGAAAGAUUUAUCGCCAAAGGAUCGGCCCGCGUUGGAUUAGGUAGUUGGUGGGGUAAUGGCCUACCAAGCCGACGAUCCAUAGCUGGUUUGAGAGGAUGGUCAGCCACACUGGGACUGAGACACGGCCCAGACUCCUACGGGAGGCAGCAGUGGGGAAUCUUAGACAAUGGGGGAAACCUUGAUCUAGCCAUGCCGCGUGAUCGAUGAAGGCCUUAGGGUUGUAAAGAUCUUUCAGUGGGGAAGAUAAUGACUGUACCCACAGAAGAAGCCCCGGCUAACUCCGUGCCAGCCGCCGCAGUAAAAC